CAACGGAUCUCUUGGUUCUGGCAUCGAUGAAGAACGCAGCGAAAUGCGAUAAGUAAUGUGAAUUGCAGAAUUCAGUGAAUCAUCGAAUCUUUGAACGCACAUUGCGCCCGCCAGUAUUCUGGCGGGCAUGCCUGUCCGAGCGUCAUUU
rnacentral:rRNA from 2 species